rnacentral:RNase_P_RNA from 1 species
GCAGUUCGCUGAAUGGCCGCUACGGCAUGAGUCGUAGAGGAAAGUCCGGGCAGUACAGAGUAUGACAGUCGCUAACGGCGACCGGAGGCAACUCUAGGGAAAGUGCCACAGAAACAAUACCGCUGUAAUUUUUUAAUUACAGUAAGGGUGAAAUGAGUGGGGUAAGAGCCCACAGUGUCUUAUGGUGACAUAAGAUAGAGGUAAACCCUGUCAACUGCAAGGAGAUUUGUUAACUAAAAAGCUACUCGCUUUAACGAAUCGAUAUCCGCUUGAUUGUGCAAGCAAUUGCAUAACUAGAUAGAUGGUCAUUCUAGACAGAACCCGGCUUACAGGCAAACUGUCUAA